rnacentral:rRNA from 1 species
AUGGCAGCUGCUCCGACGCCCACGCUGGUGCUGCUGCAGGAGUGGGGCGUCGGGCACCUCAUGUCCAUGCUCGAGUCCUGCAAGCGCCUCCUCCUCUGCGGCCGCCGCGCCUUCUCCAUCACGCUGCUCGUCAUGCGCCCGCCCACCGCGCAGGCCACCUCCCAGGUCGAGGAGCACGUCCGCCGCGAGGCCGCCUCCGGCCUCGACAUCCGCUUCCACCGCCUCCCCGCCGUCGACCCCCCGGCGGACGCGGCCGUGGUCGAGGACUUCAUCGCGCGCUACAUCCAGCUCCACGCGCCCCACGUCCGGGACGCCGUCGCGGGGAUGUCCUGCCCCGUCGCCGCGCUCGUGCUCGACCUCUUCGCGGCGCCCAUGGUCGACGUGGCCCGCGGGCUGGGCGUGCCGUCCUAG